UUUAGCCGUAACACAAUACUCAAAAAGUGCUUGCUAGUCAUUAGAUGCUAGUCACAAAGCUCCGGUCCGUGCACUCUGUCAUACGAGUAUGUUACCGGCAAUG